AUCAACCUCAGGAGGUUCAGAAGUUCACUCAUAACCUGCAGAAGAGCAGGACUGUGGGCCCAGGCACAUGUGGUGGCCCAUCAGCUCUGAGUCCUUUCUCUGCAUCCUUGGCCAGUGGGGCUUCAUAUUCAAAGGUCUCCAAGGAGCGACAAGGCAAGGAUGUGGCCCAGGAGUGGUGAUCUGCUGCUCUCAGGGAAGACUUAGCACCCUAUUGGUCAUCAGCCUCUGA
rnacentral:lncRNA from 1 species